GGGUUGUGAGGUUAAGCGACUAAGCGUACACGGUGGAUGCCCGGCAGUCAGAGGCGAUGAAGGACGUGCUAAUCUGCGAUAAGCGUCGGUGAGGUGAUAUGAACCGUUAUAACCGGCGAUUUCCGAAUGGGGAAACCCAGUGUGUUUCGACACACUAUCAUUAACUGAAUCCAUAGGUUAAUGAGGCGAACCGGGGAACUGAAACAUCUAAGGCACCCCGAGGAAAAGAAAUCAACCGAGAUUCCCCAGUAGCGGCGAGCGAACGGGAGGAGCCCAGAGCCUGAAUCAGUGUGUGUGUUAGUGGAAGCGUCUGGAAAGGCGCGCGAUACAGGGUGACAGCCCCGUACACAAAAAAAAAUGCACAUACUGUGAGCUCGAUGAGUAGGGCGGGACACGUGGUAUCCUGUCUGAAUAUGGGGACCAUCCUCCAAGGCUAAAUACCCUGACUGACCGAUAGUGAACCAGUACCGUGAGGGAAAGGCGAAAAGAACCCCGGCGAGGGGAGUGAAAAGAACCUGAAACCGUGUACGUACAAGCAGUGGGAGCCUCUUAAUGGGGUGACUGCGUACCUUUGUAUAAUGGGUCAGCGACUUAUAUUCUGUAGCAAGGUUAACCGAAUAGGGGAGCCGAAGGGAAACCGAGUCUUAACUGGGCGUUAAGUUGCAGGGUAUAGACCCGAAACCCGGUGAUCUAGCUAUGGGCAGGUUGAAGGUUGGGUAACACUAACUGGAGGACCGAACCGACUAAUGUUGAAAAAUUAGCGGAUGACUUGUGGCUGGGGUGAAAGGCCAAUCAAACCGGGAGAUAGCUGGUUCUCCCCGAAAGCUAUUUAGGUAGCGCCUCGUGAAUUCAUCUCCGGGGUAGAGCACUGUUUCGGCAAGGGGGUCAUCCCGACUUACCAACCCGAUGCAAACUGCGAAUACCGGAGAAUGUUAUCACGGGAGACACACGGCGGGUGCUAACGUCCGUCGUGAAGAGGGAAACAACCCAGACCGCCAGCUAAGGUCCCAAAGUCAUGGUUAGUGGGGAAACGAUGUGGGAAGGCCCAGACAGCCGGGAUGUUGGCUUAGAAGCAGCCAUCAUUUAAAGAAAGCGUAAUAGCUCACUGGUCGAGUCGGCCUGCGCGGAAGAUGUAACGGGGCUAAACCAUGCACCGAAGCUGCGGCAGCGACGCUUAUGCGUUGUUGGGUAGGGGAGCGUUCUGUAAGCCCGUGAAGGUGGCCUGUGAGGGUUGCUGGAGGUAUCAGAAGUGCGAAUGCUGACAUAAGUAACGAUAAAGCGGGUGAAAAGCCCGCUCGCCGGAAGACCAAGGGUUCCUGUCCAACGUUAAUCGGGGCAGGGUGAGUCGACCCCUAAGGCGAGGCCGAAAGGCGUAGUCGAUGGGAAACAGGUUAAUAUUCCUGUACUUGGUGUUACUGCGAAGGGGGACGGAGAAGGCUAUGUUGGCCGGGCGACGGUUGUCCCGGUUUAAGCGUGUAGGCUGGUUUUCCGUGCAAAUCCGGAAAAUCAAGGCUGAGGCGUGAUGACGAGGCACUACGGUGCUGAAGCGACAAAUGCCCUGCUUCCGUGAAAAGCCUCUAAGCAUCAGGUAACAUUAAAUCGUACCCCAAACCGACACAGGUGGUCAGGUAGAGAAUACCAAGGCGCUUGAGAGAACUCGGGUGAAGGAACUAGGCAAAAUGGUGCCGUAACUUCGGGAGAAGGCACGCUGAUAUGUAGGUGAAGCGACUUGCUCGUGGAGCUGAAAUCAGUCGAAGAUACCAGCUGGCUGCAACUGUUUAUUAAAACACAGCACUGUGCAAACACGAAAGUGGACGUAUACGGUGUGACGCCCGCCCGGUGCCGGAAGGUUAAUUGAUGGGGUUAGCGGUAACGCGAAGCUCUUGAUCGAAGCCCCGGUAAACGGCGGCCGUAACUAUAACGGUCCUAAGGUAGCGAAAUUCCUUGUCGGGUAAGUUCCGACCUGCACGAAUGGCGUAAUGAUGGCGGGCUGUCUCCACCCGAGACUCAGUGAAAUUGAACUCGCUGUGAAGAUGCAGUGUACCCGCGGCAAGACGGAAAGACCCCGUGAACCUUUACUAUAGCUUGACACUGAACAUUGAGCCUUGAUGUGUAGGAUAGGUGGGAGGCUUUGAAGUGUGGACGCCAGUCUGCAUGGAGCCGACCUUGAAAUACCACCCUUUAAUGUUUGAUGUUCUAACGUGGGCCCCUUUACCGGGGUUGCGGACAGUGUCUGGUGGGUAGUUUGACUGGGGCGGUCUCCUCCCAAAGAGUAACGGAGGAGCACGAAGGUUGGCUAAUCCCGGUCGGACAUCAGGAGGUUAGUGCAAUGGCAUAAGCCAGCUUGACUGCGAGCGUGACGGCGCGAGCAGGUGCGAAAGCAGGUCAUAGUGAUCCGGUGGUUCUGAAUGGAAGGGCCAUCGCUCAACGGAUAAAAGGUACUCCGGGGAUAACAGGCUGAUACCGCCCAAGAGUUCAUAUCGACGGCGGUGUUUGGCACCUCGAUGUCGGCUCAUCACAUCCCGGGCUGAAGUAGGUCCCAAAGGGUAUGGCUGUUCGCCAUUUAAAGUGGUACGCGAGCUGGGUUUAGAACGUCGUGAGACAGUUCGGUCCCCAUUCUGCCGUGGGCGCUGGAGAACUGAGGGGGGCUGCUGCCCUAGUACGAGAGGACCGGAGUGGACGCAUCACUGGUGUUCGGGUUGUCAUGCCAAUGGCACUGCCCGGUAGCUAAAUGCGGAAGAGAUAAGUGCUGAAAGCAUCUAAGCACGAAACUUGCCCCGAGAUGAGUUCUCCUGACUCCUUGAGAGUCCUGAAGGAACGUUGAAGACGACGACGUUGAUAGGCCGGGUGUGUAAGCGCAGCGAUGCGUUGAGCUAACCGGUACUAAUGAACCGUGAGGCUUAACCUUACAACGCCGAAGGUGUUU
rnacentral:rRNA from 1 species